rnacentral:tRNA from 1 species
GCCUGGGUGGCUCAGUCGGUUGAGCAUCCGACUUCAGCUCAGGUCAUGAUCUCACGGUUCGUGGGUUCGAGUCCCGCGUCAGGCU